rnacentral:rRNA from 1 species
UGUGCGCUUCAGUUGUUUAUCUGCCCCCUCGCCAGUGCAUUUUCACGGAGCGAUCACCACGACCGGCGUUGCCGUCCGGCUGCUUUGGUCAAACUGUCCUCUCAUCGUCCAUGUGGCGUUGUCUGGUCGGGAUGGCAGGUGGCCCGUUGGCUUGCUUCGGCUCGCUUUCGGGUGUAAUUAGCUGGCCAAAGCGGUACUGUGCGGUGCGUCGGAGAUGGCGGCUCGUUG